UACGGGGGGGGCAAGCGUUGUUCGGAAUUACUGGGCGUAAAGGGCUUGUAGGUGGCCAACUAAGUCAGACGUGAAAUCCCCUCGGCUUAACCGGGGAACUGCGUCUGAUACUGGAUGGCUAGAGUGUGGGAGAGGGAUGCGGAAUUCCAGGUGUAGCGGUGAAAUGCGUAGAUAUCUGGAGGAACACCGGUGGCGAAGGCGGCAUCCUGGACCACGACUGACACUGAAAAGCGAAAGCCAGGGGAGCAAACGGG
rnacentral:rRNA from 1 species